rnacentral:rRNA from 1 species
UGCAGUCGAGCGAACAGACAAGGAGCUUGCUCCUUUGACGUUAGCGGCGGACGGGUGAGUAACACGUGGGUAACCUACCUAUAAGACUGGGAUAACUUCGGGAAACCGGAGCUAAUACCGGAUAAUAUUUCGAACCGCAUGGUUCGAUAGUGAAAGAUGGUUUUGCUAUCACUUAUAGAUGGACCCGCGCCGUAUUAGCUAGUUGGUAAGGUAACGGCUUACCAAGGCGACGAUACGUAGCCGACCUGAGAGGGUGAUCGGCCACACUGGAACUGAGACACGGUCCAGACUCCUACGGGAGGCAGCAGUAGGGAAUCUUCCGCAAUGGGCGAAAGCCUGACGGAGCAACGCCGCGUGAGUGAUGAAGGUCUUCGGAUCGUAAAACUCUGUUAUUAGGGAAGAACAUACGUGUAAGUAACUAUGCACGUCUUGACGGUACCUAAUCAGAAAGCCACGGCUAACUACGUGCCAGCAGCCGCGGUAAUACGUAGGUGGCAAGCGUUAUCCGGAAUUAUUGGGCGUAAAGCGCGCGUAGGCGGUUUUUUAAGUCUGAUGUGAAAGCCCACGGCUCAACCGUGGAGGGUCAUUGGAAACUGGAAAACUUGAGUGCAGAAGAGGAAAGUGGAAUUCCAUGUGUAGCGGUGAAAUGCGCAGAGAUAUGGAGGAACACCAGUGGCGAAGGCGACUUUCUGGUCUGUAACUGACGCUGAUGUGCGAAGCGUGGGGAUCAAACAGGAUUAGAUACCCUGGUAGUCCACGCCGUAAACGAUGAGUGCUAAGUGUUAGGGGG